AGAACCAGCUAUCGCCCGGGCUAAUCGAAAAAUACUCCUUGAUUUGUUCUACAAACUUUUCUACCGGAAAUCUUGCUUCGAUUUUUAAGUGAAGCACUUAUUCUGAUAAGAAAUUUUACUGAGGUGGUACUUUAAAAAGUCACUUUUUUGAUUUUUCCAAAAUAUGGGGAAAAUUGGAAAAGGGCAGGAAAACCGGGAGAAUGGGAAAAUAGGUACAAUAUUAAACAGAUAUUAUGGAAGAAAAUAUAUAGUAUAUAAGAUAAAAUAUAUAAAACUCUAGAGUUCGUAAAACGUAUAUCGUCCGAAUUUAAAUUUACCUGUCCAUUGAAGGCUCUUAACUGUUCUUUAGUGCGACUUCGGCUUGAGUAUGGUUCUAUUUUUUGCGAUCCCAUUACAGUCUCCGACUCUGCAAUCAUCGAUUGAAUCCAAAAACGUUUUUCUAUCCUAUGCCGGCCAUGUGAUGAAUGUCCUCCACUUGUAGGUUGACUACUAUUCAGUUCUCCACAUGCUUGGCCGAUAGAAGAGAUACAUUAAAUUGAAGUUCCUUCGUAGUCUCACACUUCCGCACACCACCAAUUAUAGUUUUAACAAUCCUAUACACAUGCACCUUUCCAACGUCCACCCUUCGUU